rnacentral:rRNA from 1 species
AUUGAACGCUGGCGGCAGGCCUAACACAUGCAAGUCGCACGAGUGGCGGACGGGUGAGUAAUGUAUGGAAAACUGCGUGAUGGAGGGGGAUAACUACUGGAAACGGUAGCUAAUAGCGCAUACCAGCAGAUGUGCCCCGAUGGGAUUAGCUAGUUGGUGGGGUAACGGCACACCAAGGCGACGCUCCCUAGCUGGUCUGAGAGGAUGACCGGCCACACUGGAACUGAGACACGGUCCAGACUCCUACGGGAGGCAGCCGUGGGGAAUAUGGCACAAUUGGCGCAAGCCUGAUGCAGCCAUGCCGCGUGUAUGAAGAAGGCCUUCGGGUUGUAAAGUACUUUCAGCGGAGAGGCGUUACCCGCAGAAGAAGCACCGGCUAACUCCGUGCCAGCCGCCGCGGUAAUAC